UUCCCGUAUGAUCACCGAAGUUAAGCAACGUCGUGUCUGGUCAAUACCUAGAUGGGUGACCGUUUGGGAAGAUCAAGUGCU